AAUUAUAUUUUAAUUAUCUUUAAGUAGCUGUAAAAAAAAAGGUGGGGUAUUUUACCAUUCAUUGUACUUUAUAAGUCCAGUGCAGCUUGAUCACUAUUAUCCUUUUCAUCCUUCUUCCCAUACCUGCAACCCAACCCCUCCUCUCAUUUUUCCUAGGUUCAUAGGAUAUGCAUUGAAUAAUUACAUUCUCCUGCACCACUCUCCUCUCUUCAUUCAAAUGAAAGCAUAAGAGAUCUUGAGACCUAAAGCUUAGUUUUGUCACUAAGAAAGAAAAAACAUUAGAUUUUAUAAAUUAG